rnacentral:tRNA from 1 species
GGACUCGUAGCUCAGCGGUAGAGCGCUUCGUUGACAUCGAAGAGGUCAGAGGUUCGAACCCUCUCGGGUCCA